rnacentral:rRNA from 1 species
UACAGAGGGGGCAAGCGUUAUUCGGAAUUAUUGGGCGUAAAGGGCGCGUAGGCGGCUUGGCAAGUGGAAGGUGAAAUCCCUCGGCUUAACCGAGGAACUGCCCUCCAAACUGCUUCGCUUGAGACCGGGAGAGGUGAGUGGAAUUCCCAGUGUAGCGGUGAAAUGCGUAGAUAUUGGGAGGAACACCAGUGGCGAAGGCGGCUCACUGGACCGGUGCUGACGCUGAUGCGCGAAAGCGUGGGGAGCAAACGGG